UUCUCAGUAUAAACAAUAGUGUGGUCCAAUUUCUUCAACUCAUAGCCACUAAAAUCUUAUAUAAAGUUUCUAAACACAUCUAAAGUCAAGCUUUGAAUACAGACAAGAUGAUCUCCCUUUUAAUGUUCUGCUACUUUUCAGGUGCUAGUCUGGGGAUUGAGGUUCGUCAGUCUUCCUCUGAUAUCAUCGCAAAGGCUAGUGACAAAGUUCAGAUUUUCUGCAGUCAUGAUAAAACUGACUACAGAAUGAUGUUCUGGUACAAGCAGUCGCCUGGAGACACGGCUAUGAAACUCAUUGGGUUUUUAAACUAUGCAGCUGUCACAGUUGAAGAACAAUAUAGAGAUCAUUUCAAUAUCACUGGAAAUCUUGGGGGCGAUUCUGCAAAGAAUGGCUCACUAACUAUCCAAGUCAAAGGACAAGAGCACAGUGCAGUGUACUACUGUGCAGCAAGCAAAGCACAAUGACAGAAAGCUCCUCUGAACUUUACAAAAACUCCACAUAAUUUUUA